rnacentral:rRNA from 1 species
ACUCCUACGGGAGGCAGCAGUAGGGAACCCUUCGCAUGGGCGAAAGCUGACGGAGCAACGCCGCGUGAGUGAUGAAGGUCUUCGGAUCGUAAAACUCUGUUAUUAGGGAAGAACAAAUGUGUAAGUAACUAUGCACGUCUUGACGGUACCUAAUCAGAAAGCCCGCUAACUACGUGCAGCAGCCGCGGUAAUAC